rnacentral:rRNA from 1 species
AUAAUGGGUCAGCGACUUAUAUUCUGUAGCAAGGUUAACCGAAUAGGGGAGCCGAAGGGAAACCGAGUCUUAACUGGGCGUUAAGUUGCAGGGUAUAGACCCGAAACCCGGUGAUCUAGCCAUGGGCAGGUUGAAGGUUGGGUAACACUAACUGGAGGACCGAACCGACUAAUGUUGAAAAAUUAGCGGAUGACUUGUGGCUGGGGGUGAAAGGCCAAUCAAACCGGGAGAUAGCUGGUUCUCCCCGAAAGCUAUUUAGGUAGCGCCUCGUGAAUUCAUCUCCGGGGGUAGAGCACUGUUUCGGCAAGGGGGUCAUCCCGACUUACCAACCCGAUGCAAACUGCGAAUACCGGAGAAUGUUAUCACGGGAGACACACGGCGGGUGCUAACGUCCGUCGUGAAGAGGGAAACAACCCAGACCGCCAGCUAAGGUCCCAAAGUCAUGGUUAAGUGGGAAACGAUGUGGGAAGGCCCAGACAGCCAGGAUGUUGGCUUAGAAGCAGCCAUCAUUUAAAGAAAGCGUA